GACGAACGCUGGCGGCAUGCUUAACACAUGCAAGUCGAACGGAAAGGCCGUGCUUUGGUGGGGUGCUCGAGUGGCGAACUGGUGAGUAACACGUGAGUAACCUGCCCUUGACUUUGGGAUAACUUCAGGAAACUUGGGCUAAUACCGGCUAGGAGCUCCUGCUGCAUGGUGGGGGUUGGAUAGUUUCGGCGGUUGGUGAUGGACUGGCGGCUUAUGAGGUUGUUUGUUGGGUAGUGGCUUACCAAGGCUUUGAGGGGUAGCCUGCCUGAGAGGGGGACCGGCCCCACUGGGCUUGAGAUACGGCCCAGACUCCACUGGUAGGCAGCGGUGGAGAGUGUUACACAAGGGGAGGAAGCCUGACGCAGUAACGCAGCGUCGGGUAUGACAGCAAUGGGGUUGUGUUCCGCAUUUGCCUGUGACGAAGCGUGAAUGACGGUACCGGGUAAAGAAGCACCGGCUAACUCCGUG
rnacentral:rRNA from 1 species